UGAUAUAAAUAGCCGGUUUUUGCGUCGC
rnacentral:piRNA from 1 species